GAAGUGUGAACCAAGCAGCGGCGUAAGCCGCGUGAGACUUGGAGCGGGCGGUCGUAAGACCACCCUGCA
ncrna:unclassified sequences Transposase-2 RNA